rnacentral:misc_RNA from 1 species
GUAUUAUCAGUGCUACCAACUCACAGAUAAGAGCGAUGUUUACAGCUUUGGUGUGGUCUUGAUUGAGCUGAUAUCAUCUUUACAGGCAGUGGACACUAACAGGCAUAGGCUUGACAUCAAUUUGGCCAACAUGGCAGUUAACAAAAUCCAAAAUCAUGCAGUAAAUGAGUUGAUAGAUCCAUGUCUUGGUUUUGAAAAGGAUUCUGCAGUGAGGAAGAUGGCAACAUCCAUUGCAGAAUUGGCUUUCCGAUGCUUGCAACAGGAGAGGGAUAUGAGGCCUACUAUGAGAGAAGUCUUAGAGGCACUGAAAAGAAUUGAGAAAGAAAAUUAUGUAUCAGAGAAAGCGGAUGUUGUGGAUAUUAAGGAGGAUGAUGUUGGGCUUUUGAAUAAUGUACCUCCAUUUUCACCAGACUCGAUUGGGACGACUGACAAAUGGGUUAGCAGCUCUACUACUACUACUACUAAUACUUCUAGUAGUUGAGAUUUGCCAUCCUUUUUUUUUCCCCCCCUUAAAACCUGAAAAUAGGUGUUUGAAGUGUUGUACACUCACUAUUAAAUGCCAUUGAGUGGGUUAAAGUGUCACUAUCUUUCCAUUUGCUUGGUUUUGUUUUUAGUAGACUAAGUUCAGGCAAUGUACAUAUUGAAUCAUCGAUUACCAGUCGCAAUGUUAUUCUUCAUUGAGAUGUAUUUAUACCUCUUUAAUGGUGGUUUUGAAUAUAAUAUACAUUUGAGUUUCGACUCGGAGAAGUAAUUUGCACUUGAACCUGGUGGAAGACAUUCUAAAAUUUUGUUCCUUUGUGUAUCUUUUGUAACAGGAGAAGAUGAUGAGAACGCUGUGACCAGAGUUCUUGCGAGCUAGGAUGGCAAUAUUUAUCAGUAAUUUUGGUAAAUAUGAUUCCAGUUUUGUGAUCUCCAGAGCAAUUGCUCAUGUUUGAGGCUUUUUCUGCUACAAAAUUUGCUCCUUUUCGUCAAUAAGUAGCGCUGCAAGGCACACUAACAAUCCUUAAUAAUGGGAAUCCGUCGUCCUCGCUGGUCUGGGAUGCAGCAACCGGGAGAUGUACAACCUUUUUUUUUUUCUUUUGAGC